AAGAAGUUCAAUCGGGUUUUUCCAUACUAGCUCCUGGAAAAACUUGAAUGAACCUUUUGG
ensembl:miRNA